CGCCGCGGUUAUACGAGCAGCCCAAGUUGACAGUCACCGGCGUAAAGAGUGGUUAGGGAAAGACUAGACUGAAGUAGAAACACCACAGGACGGUAGUAUGAACCCUGUGGCCCGUAAGAUCAGCAACGAAAGUGACUUCAAUACCCCUGACCCCACGAAAACUGAGGAA
rnacentral:rRNA from 1 species